rnacentral:piRNA from 1 species
UUCAGGAAGAUAAGGGAAUCCACCACCUGU